UACGUAGGGUGCAAGCGUUGUCCGGAAUUAUUGGGCGUAAAGAGCUCGUAGGCGGGUUUGUCGUGUCUGCUGUGAAAACCGGAGGCUCAACCUCCGGCCUGCAGUGGGUACGGGCAAACUAGAGUGCGGGUAGGGGAGAUUGGAAUUCCUGGUGGUAGCGGUGGAAUGCGCAGAUAUCAGGAGGAACACCGGUGGCGGAAGGCGGGUCUCUGGGCCAUUACUGACGCUGAGGAGCGAAAGCGUGGGGAGCGAACAGG
rnacentral:rRNA from 1 species